rnacentral:tRNA from 1 species
AUUUAUUUAGUAUAAUAAAGUACAUUUGAUUUCCAAUCUUAGAGUCUUUUCAAAGAAUAAAUA